GGAGAUGAACGGGUACUUGCUCCAAUACCUCACGGUUUUUGGAGAGGAAAGUCCGGACACCCCUUGUUUAUUUCAAGGAAGCAGGUGGCAGGUAACGCCUGCCUCCCGCCAAAUUCGUCUUCGACGAAUAGGCGGGACGGGACUGAUACUCGGAGUGAAGAUACAGCGCAUGCGAUAUCUGCACUACGUUUCAGCGAAGAGUGCAACAGAAACAUACCGCCUAUGUGUACCUAGGUAUGCAGGUAAGGUUGAAAUCGUGCGGUAAGAGCGCACGUCGCGUCUGAGUAAUCAGACGAGAGGGCAAACCCCUCCUGGUGCAACCUCAAGUCGCUCCGUUUAUAGCGGAGCAGGUAGAGGGCAUGAGCCUAGCAGCGAUGUUAGGCCCAGAUAGAUGAGUACCUCCCCCACCGUAAGGCGGGGCAGACAGAAUCCGGCUUACAGUUCGUCUCCAUUA
rnacentral:RNase_P_RNA from 1 species